GUGCCUAGGAGUGCAAGUCGAGCGAACUUGCGGGAGCUUGCUCCCAAAAGUUAUGCCCGGACGGGUGAGUAACACGUGGGCAACCUGCCUAUAAGACUGGGAUAACUUCGGGAAACCGGAGCUAAUACCGGAUAAUUCUUUUCUACUCAUGUAGAAAAGCUAAAAGACGGCUUACGCUGUCACUUAUAGAUGGGCCCGCGGCGCAUUAGCUAGUUGGUGGGGUAAUGGCCCACCAAGGCGACGAUGGGUAGCCGAGCUGAGAGGCUGACCGGCCGCACUGGGACUGAGACACGGCCCAGACUCCUACGGGAGGCAGCAGUGGG
rnacentral:sRNA from 1 species